CGGCGUCAUGUGUGUCACGUGACGAGAAACCUGGACCGCCGGUGUUCAGAGCGGAGUCUCAGCCGCCGCAGAUUCCAGUAAAAGUUUGAGCGCAAAGAGGAGUUUGCGGUAGCAACAGCUCUUCCCAUGCUUUCCACUCCAGGAAACACUCUUGACUUUAAUAUUAAAGUUGUAGUAUAAAGUUAUUCUUUGUGGUCGAUCCCCCCCCCCUUUCUCCCGGGUUUAAAGGUCAAGCAGCCCCAAAACAAAUGUAGAAAAUAUAACGGCUGAAAGUUUGCUUCUGUACGUUUGAAAAGGUUACCGAGGCAUAACUAAGAUGAAUAACUAGAUGGACGGUUGGUGGUUGACAGAACUCUGCCGGCUGAAGGAAGAGGCGACAGUCGUUGAGUCCACAUCAGUCUGAUCAGAUUCCUGGCUUUCCAUUCAGGCUUCUGAUGAUGGCGCUCGCUCUUCGUGGUUACAUAAUUAGCACAAAUAGGUGAAAUAACUAAGUGUGCCGAUCGUACUUCGGCAGAAAUGUCAGCAAACUGCUCAGUGUCCCACAGCAAAACCGCUAAAUGUCUCCUCUACAAGCUUUUCGUUAUGGAAAACGCUCGAAAGAAGCUGGAGGAACAGAUGCGACAUUUCACGAAAAAGGCAAAUGAAGAUGUGCAGUUAUUUUUUCAAACUGCCACUGCAAGGUCAUCUGUGGAUUGUCUGCAUGUUCUUAAAGCCUUGGAGGCAAAGUGUUACAUUAUCGAAAAGGUUUCUGAUUUCUUUCAGCAGCUGAAAGCAGAUCCAGAAUCUCAUUCCAUAAUGCCUGCAAAGUCAAAAGAUUCUCCCAUAAGCAAGCCUGUUUGGAGACAGGGAAGCGAUACUACGGUUUCCGACAUUUUGAAGUCUGGGCCCAUGUUGCAUGAGUUCGUAACGGCCGUUUCUGCCAGGAGCGCAGGACAGACUGUAGGAUCUGCCAGUGCACUUCCACAGACAUCACCCACUCAGACAUCACAUGAAAGUGUAGAGAUAUGUGACACUUCUCUUGAGCAUCUGGAGGAAAAAGUUCCAGCCGAUGAUGGUGAGGAGAUGCUACAUUCAGUUGCACCAGUGAAAAGUUGUGACUCUGCAGCUGGGGUAGAAAAUCCCACUAUGCAGCCAAAUGGCCAAAAGUUAAAUCAUGGUGCAAACGCGGUUUUGGAUGAUCAGGGACCGGGCAGGGAUAUCGUCUUAAAACAUCAGAAGCAAACAUCAUCUGAAUUAAGGAGGUUUCUCCAAAGCAAUUAUAAAUACAGGGCUGCAGAGUUUACUUUCAUCCAAGGAAAGGAUGCUACAGCUGAGGGAUCUCCAUCGUUUCCCAGUGCUUCAUCUAAGAUCCCAACUCAGUUAGAAAUGAAUGGCAGACAAUUUUGUGAUAGGAAAUGCAAAGAAAGAAAUGACAUUAAGAAAAAGCCUUUUUGUACUUUGGCUUCUUUUGAACCGGUUUUCAAAGUGAAGCAAAACGAAACUGAAAACCUUGUGUCUUUGAGCUACAUGGUUGCCACAGACUCUGAAGUGUGGGAUGUUGCAGAUGUUCCUAUGGGAGAAAAGCACAGUUUAUUUAGUGGGUGGAAUGGGCAGAGCCUGGAGGUAUCUCACAUGGAAAGAAUACCAUCAUUCCCAAUUCGAAAGUAUGAAGAAACAAAGGUUACCGUCAGUCAUGUUGUCACCCCUGAGAACUUCUACAUCCAGCAUGUGGGCUCAGAACUGCAGCAGAUGUCUGCGAGAAUUGAGUUGAGUUGCGGUGGAUCUUUUGCAGAGAUGAGGUGCAUCCCAGAUAUUGGAGCCAAAGUUGUAGGAUGGUUUCCUAGAGACAAGCUGUGGUGCCGUAUUGUGGUGCUCGGGAUCUCUGGGAUGAACGGAGAUGCCACCCUGAGCUCUGGAAGCCCAGGUGUUAUGGAGAACAUUGAAGUGGAAGUGAGGAGGAUUGACUACGGUGACACCGCAUGCCUUCCCCUGCAAAGCAUAAAGGAACUGGAUGACUCGACAGCUACUGUACCUGUGCAAGCCCUUCAGGUGUCACUGGCAAACGUGUCUCCAGCUAACGGUCACGAGUGGUCCACUGAGGCAGUUGACUGGUUUAAAGACAAAGUGAACAGCACCAUCUUGUAUGCCAGGGUAUUUCCACAGGACACUAGGGUAACAGUGGAGCUUUUCACUGAGAAGGGAAAAAUGGGAGCCAUGAGGAGAAGCGCUUCGCUGUCUGUAAGACUCGCCCAAAGUGGACAUGCAAAGCAUACAGCAAAAGAAGUGAACUUAAAAAGUUGUGCCUGUGAACCAGCAAGAAAGGUGGCAUCUGAAUGGGAGAAAUACCUCCUUUCAUACUACUCUAAAAAUAAGAAGUGAACAUGAGUAUUGCUUGGACAUAUCUGAAGAAUGGUGGAGCAGCACACAAUUUGCAGGAAAUAAACUGUACCUAAACAAUAGAGAGUAUAUAGAU
rnacentral:lncRNA from 1 species